rnacentral:rRNA from 1 species
UACAGAGGGUGCGAGCGUUAAUCGGAAUUACUGGGCGUAAAGAGCACGUAGGUGGUCGUUUAAGUCAGAUGUGAAAGCCCUGGGCUCAACCUGGGAAUGCCAUUUGAAACUGGACGACUAGAGUAUGGUAGAGGGAAGUGGAAUUUCCGGUGUAGCGGUGAAAUGCGUAGAUAUCGGAAGGAACACCAGUGGCGAAGGCGGCUUCCUGGACCAAUACUGACACUGAGGUGCGAAAGCGUGGGUAGCAAAC